GCCCACCUACCUCCAGCUUUACCUCUUCCCUCUCUGUCUCGUGACCACGCUCCUCCUCCCCACGAUCCGCUUUCCCUCGUCGCCGCCACCACCAACACCGACCUAUUCUGGUGAGCUCCGAUGACGGGAAGCACUCCCCCAAUCUCCCCGAGCUCCACGCCUCCUUCCCCUUCGUCUACAAUCAGCGCUCCCGCCCUCCAUCGUCCCUCGUGGUAGCUAGUGUUUCGGCCACCAUUUCAUCUCCGGCGAUGGCGAGGCCAACGGGCGGCGGAUCCGACAUCGACGUAUCCCAGAUAACGGUGACGGGGAUGAGACGGUGAUAGCCGUCUCCUGCUCGAGGAGACGGCUCGGGGAUGGAACAUGAUGCCAUGAUUCUACCAUACAAGUUGAACAGAAUUCGCAUCCGAGAAGGAUACUAUGGAUACACUUCCCACCAUCUCUCCUGCCGCCGACUUGAGCUCCUGACCACAAGAAGGGCAGGCAUCGCGCAGGAGCUCCUGGAGAGCCUACGGUUUGGUCACGGCACGUGGUGCGGCCUUCCUUGUCAUGACUACGGCAUUUGCUGUGUACUGCCGGGCGAAGAAAGUCGGUACUAUGAGGCCUUGGGUAACAGGGCUAAGCGGGCUGCAGCGAGCCUUCGUGAUAGGUGUGCCUUCGCUGAAACGAUCAGAGCUGGAGGCAGCCUCUGAGGAUUUCAGCAAUAUAAUUGGAUCUACGGCUAACUGCAUGUUGUAUAAGGGAACAUUGUCAAGCGAAGUUGAAAUAGCAGUUGUGUCAAGUUUAAUAUCAUCUAAGAAUGAUUGGUGAAAAGCAUGUGAAUCCCAGUACAGGAAAAGGUAAUCUGCCAUUAACCUCCUUAUAUGCACAUUUUUUUCUUCAAGCUCUUACCAAUUGCAUCAAAAAAUGCCACCGACCUCCCCAUCUCAUGCAAUUGAAGCACUGAGUGGCCUGAAAUCCUGGAAUUUCUGGUCAUCAACGUAGCAUUCCUUGCGAGUAAAAAAUACCUAUGCAAACCUGGAAGUGUAGUCCACCUAACUCGGAUCACAGGAGCAUUUCCCAGAAACUAAUAUAUUGUAUUUCAGGGGUAAUUCCUUUGGGAAGUAAAAAAAGUCAACAAUAUGAAAAAUGGGGGAAAACGUGUCACCAGGGGAGUAACUCUCACUCACAACGGAGGAUGAAUGUGGAGCAGGCUAGCUUAGCCGCUCUAAUAUAUUGUAUUAUUAGAAGAACUGAUUUUGAGGGUAGAGGAGCCUCUGGUACUGUCCAUAUUUUGCUGCCUCAAUUCUUGGAAGCGAAUUUGCACAUUCCAUAAAUAGGUCAUCAUUCCAUAACAGUAUAACCAAGCCAUUCUGCAUUGUCAUACUUCUGUUUUACUCUUGACCUCAAUUCUGGUAGUUAUUUUUCAAGAUUAAUACCGAAAAGAUAGCGUACUUUAAGACGUGAUGUCAUGCUGAUAUAUCAGAAAAUAAAUUUAAUGAUGAGCCCCUUUGGGCACAAGUCAUGCAGAAAUUAUGCUGAGAUGCCACCCUGUUUUCCGCAUUAAUAUGUUGUUGCUUGUCCUAUAUUAGCUAGAUGGUCAUUAAGUUGGUACAAAUAAAUCUUCAAGUCUUGAGGCAAAUCAUGCAAGGGUCAGUAUCCUUUGAUCCAUCUCAAAUGGUGAUAACAUCUGGUGCGACGCCUGCAAUGGAAAUACUGAGCUUCUGUAUUGCUGAUCCAGGAAAUGCAUUUCUUGUUCCAUCACCAUACUACCCUGGAUGGGACAGGGACAAAAAAUGGUGAACUGGUAUUGAGUUGAUACUCGUUCCUUGCCGGAGCACCGACAACUUCAACAUCAGUAUCACUGCUCUAGAAAUAGCCUAUAACCCUUUCAUUUGCUUAGCUCCUGAGUAGAAUUUACAGGUUUGACUGAAUUGUGGAGAGGAAUGGCGAUUCGUUGCUGGUGCAGAGUCAGGAGUGCUUGGAGAAGGUUGACAAGACGGUCUCCUUCCUCGCGCAGCCUGAAAGCUCAUUCCUGCUGUUGCUCACAGGGGAAGUUUAAAAGGACCGCGCGCUGGAGCUCCUAAGCGUGCGCCCCUUCUACUUCGUUUACUUAUGUGACGUGAAGACAUAAAGCAAACCUUUGGAGCCAUAGUUGUCUUUCUUGUCAUCUAAAAUAAUAAUGGUAACAUAUAAAUACAAACAAAAAAAUAUUCUAGCUCAAAAAAUUGUAUGUGAAUAAUGAAUGGAUGCUAUAGAACUAUAUUUGUUAUGGAUCUAUGUAUGUAUGGAUGCUAUGGAACUAUAUGUAUAUAUGGAUGCUAUGGA